UCUUCCGCUACAAUGUUCAUUACCGUUGGGUUCGGACCAAACCAUGCCAAUCUCUCCCGAAUCUCCUUGUUGGUUGGUGAUUCAUUUCCAUUUUCCAUCUCCUGAAUGGUUGGUGUUGCAGCAACCAAGUUCUCCCGGUCUAGCUCCAUUAACUCAGCAAUAAUGACCUGCUUGGUUUUGUUGCUAGCAAUCCUUCCACGAACUUCCAGUAGUUCUUUUAGCGUGUUUCUUUUAAGCAGGGUGUACCAGCCUUCCAGUCACUGUCCCCAGUGUCUGCUUGGAAUCCUGGUGCAAGGGAAAAAACAGAAGGGAAAAUCCCGCCGCUGCCAACCAGUUGUGACGGUAGUAUACGGUAUCACCGUCAAGCAUUCCCUUCUUUCCCAUAAAAGAAAAUUACCCAAUACUCCACAAGAACAAAUAUCCCUGAUAUCGCCGAAUAAUCCACAUAUGAGCCAAAGCUUAAUGCAGGAACAAGACUGAUUUACUGAAAGCAACAGGCAUUCAAUUUAAACAGUAACAGACUCCUCCUCUGGGCCAGGCUAGAUAACUAAGUUUCAGCAAUACACAAAGCUCAAUUAUCUGCUGGCCAGAAACAUUACAAUUUUCAAAAUUUUCAGAAAAGUACUUUCUAUAAGACAUACAAAUAUAACAUUAACAUCCCUGGGUAGCUGAGGAUACUGGUAGUCACAUAUCCAAAUCUCACGAAUUUCCGUUCGGUAGUUUCCGCGUCGCACCAUGUAGAAGUUUGACCGGCUCGCCAUGUGGAGGUUUCCGAUUUAGAGUUCCAUGAAAUCAGCAGCAAGAGCCGGUCUCCGUUCGCAUCUAAUUACACGAAAACCACCGUUCGUAUGGUGCAGCUGGUUACAUGCGAAUGUUCCCCUCGUUCGGUAGGUUCUAUCUACCGAAUGCCAGUUUGAUUCGUGGAGGGGAACGUAUUCAGUCAGGACUUCCAUGAGGACCCAGGGUGCUACCCAGGGUGGGUGGUCUCCGUUCGGUAGACGAAUACAUUUAUUCAAUACAUAUUGAAACGAACUGAUACAGGCAUUUAAACAGCAGGGAGAAGGUAUAAUUGAAGGCACCCAGGUAAGUACAUGAAAAUCCUUCACAUACAUACAUAUAUAUUUAUAUAUAGUGUCUCUCUCUCUCUCUCUC